rnacentral:rRNA from 1 species
UACGUAGGCAGCGAGCGUUGUUCGGAGUUACUGGGCGUAAAGGGUGUGUAGGCGGUCCCUUAAGUUUGGUGUGAAAUCUCCCGGCUCAACUGGGAGGGUGCGCCGGAUACUGAGGGGCUAGAGUGCGGGAAGGGAAAGUGGAAUUCCUGGUGUAGCGGUGAAAUGCGUAGAUAUCAGGAGGAACACCGGUGGUGCAAACGGCUUUCUGGACCGUAACUGACGCUGAGGCGCGACAGCGUGGGGGAGCAAACAGG